rnacentral:lncRNA from 1 species
CCUAGGAUUUGCAUAUUACACAUUGAUAUUUAGCGUAUUUGGGGUGGGGGGAGAUAGGGGACGGUAAUUGCUCCCAAGCUGCUUUUGUGCUGGCAGAUAAUUUAUAUUUAAUUCAGUGAUACAGAGCUAAAUUAACCACUUAAGAUGGAGAUAAAUAUAGACAUGCUAUAUAUAGGUGGAAUCUGCCACCAUACUCAGAUUGAAGAGCAUUAUCUCUGCUUGAUUUCAGUGGAGCUACUGCAGGGUAAGCUGCCUCUCAAUACAACCAAGCUUAAACUGGACCAGACUGUACGUUUAAAGGUGCUGAAGUCCCCUGACCAGGAUGAGUCCCAGCUCACUGUGACAGCAGCAUCAAGUUUCUCCUGAAGGAAAGCUGAGGAGGAUGAAGGCGGGGGAGGAAUGAAUAGGCUGAGGAAGCAGGAGCACAGAGCAUGGAGGACAGGGCUCAGACACCUCCUUGCUUUUAGCCCCUGGUCUUUCCUGAGGCUUAUUCCCAGGAAGGGACAUGGCCCCACUGCUGGGGACAGGUGAGAUUGCUCUCCACUCUGCUGCUGCACCUCACCAGGGAAAGGUUUGUGGCUCCUCUCUCUAUAGGACUGGGGAGAUUAUGGGCUGUUUCACCCCCCCAUGACUCAGAACUGAAAGUUAGUGUGUCUACAUUGCCCUUUCCAAUUUAAAGCAGAAAAAAAAAGUUGUGUUCAGAAAUCACCAUGUUGCUUCCAAAAAGGUUAAAGUUUACCCACCAGGGUGCCUCUUGAAGGUGUGGGAUUUUCAAUAUUGAAUAUAAAAUGGAGGAGGGUAAGACACACCUUUCUCUUUUUCUAAGGAUGCACUCAUUUAGUGGUUAAACUUGAAAAGGGGCUAAGAGAAACAUCCUGAAUUACAGUUUAAAUGAGUUUAAAAUUCCAGUUACUUAUAGCUUAAAAGAAAAAAAAAAAAAAGUGUCUGAAACCAAAUGGUCUCAGUGGGGCGGUGCAUGGGCAAAACGUAAAAUGACACAUAAUGAAAUAAAGUAAUUUUAUUUGCAAACCUGUUCAGGAGCCUGGUACAGACUGUAACGAUCAAGCAGAAGCAGUCUCUCAUUUCUCUUGGUGUUCCUUUGCAGAGUUAUGUGACCCAAGAAAGAAAACAUUAAGAUGUUCUGAUUUCACCCUAUAGGACAGAGAAAUACGCUUUGGUUAAUGCUUACCAUAAUUCUAUCUACUUGGCUCAGACAGUUAUAUUUUUAUGAAUCUUACGUUACUUUCUGUCACCCUCUAGGCAACAAUAUAGAGUUAUUACAGUAUAAAGGAAAAUGCUUCCUGUUGAGCUUAUACUUGAACAAGUCUUAACCAAGUGGAAGCUCUUAAUAAAAGGGUAAAUAUACUAAGGAAUAAACAGGUACAGCGAAUAAAAAGGAGUACCGGAUUUAUUGAUGCUCGGGUUCAUGGCAUAGACUAGCGAAAGGUAGAAAACUCCAAGGUAAAGCUGGCAGGCCGAGCUCGGUCAGAAAUCUGAGGGAGUUAGAGUUUUGUUAAGUGAAUUUAGUGCUCAUUAAGGGAUUUGCGGUGUCAGCAUUACCGAGUGGAGUCCUCUCUCGCCCUCACAUCAGCAAGAGCGUAGUGCAGCAAGAUUAAUUCUGCGUCCGUCCUCUUCUUGGCCUCCUCAAUAAAAUUAUCACCCAGGGACCCAAUUGUUCGGUGCUAGCCGGUGCAUACCUGCUCGCCAGGAAUUUAGCUGAGAUCACCCCCUCCUUUAAUGCGGCAUGCGGAUCGUAGUGCCCUGCACUGGGCUGGGCUUCAAACACCAGAUUAACUUUGUGUUAUUUUUUUAAUUUUUUUUUUUUGCUCCGUAAUGAUUUAUUUGCAUACCUUUAGUAACUGCAUAAUGCACAGAAGCCUUUAUUGGCUGGCCUGUGCACUGGCAUCGCUUCUUCACUCGAUGUGUACCUGGGAGGAGGUGUCCUGGUCUUUGCAAUAAUGGGUAGGGGCAGGCACCCCGCUGUCCUGGGGGCUUGCUUGUGCCAGCUCUUGGUGGCAGGAGACCCUUAUACCAACCAUUAUCUCCUCCAUAGACCUACUGGUUACAGAUAACUUCCAGCCUGAGUUGAAAGGAAGAUAUUGUCACUAGUGCUGGCUGCUUUCGUUAAGAGCAAUGACAACGCUUUGGUUCCCUCUGAAAUGCCCACACAAAUUGUUUCCUUCUGCUUUACAUCUCUCUACCAUCAUUUUUUCCCCUUGUUCUCACUCCAGUUAUUUUGACUAAAAGUUUAUUUUGCAUAGCAGAGGAAAUAGAGAUCUGCAAAUACUAAACAGACUCAAGCAAAAAUAUUGGUGCACAUGUUCUCAAAUUAGUUACAUGGAGUGUGGCUCUAGAAAACGCUGGUGAGUUUGGAAAAAAUGAACUUGGUCUGGCUGUGUAUCUUUCCCUCUCAGCCGAAACCAGCGUUCAUAUAGUUUUCAUUCUGCUGGAAACUAUUCACAAUGAGUAUACAAGUAUAUUGCAAACCCUCUUUUCCUAUGGCCCCAUGCGGCUUUUUAAGCCCAGAUAUUAAGCCUUCCUCAGCAUUACCUUAUCCUUUCGUCCAGACAUCAUUCAAAGGUACAGUUGACUUUCUAAAUUACAUCAUAUGUAAGUAGAUUUAUUUUUCCUUUUCUGCAGAUAUAGUUUAAUUUCCUUUUCCAAUUUGCAUGGGUGCACACUCAUAAAUUUUAAAUAUAUUUAACCUCUUUUCAAAAGACCCUUUGAAUUUCUCUAAGGUCUGUGCCCUCUGAGUUGGAUACACAGUCUUUUGUACAUAAAAACCCACCAAGACUUCCAGAAAUGCUGCAUUAAACACCUCCCUGCGUUUCCAAAAGGCUCUCUCUUUCCCUCAUGAAACAAAACGUCCCCCUGCAUGAUGCUUCUGUUAGCCUGUAACGGAGAGACAUUUGUUGGGGCUUUGCUGGAAGCACAGUUCAUUGAGUACCAAAAUAGUGAGGGAAGGUCAGCAGGGCUGUCCUGGGCCCCAACAGACAUCCUGCCAGCCCACGGUCCUGGACAUGUCCCUGACCAGAGCCCACAGCUCCUGGAGGAAGGCAGAGGAGAUGUUUCAGCAUAGCAGAGAUGGACUGACCUGUGCCCAUGGCAAGUCUUCUGUCACUGCCUGAGGCAUUAAGAAUUGAUGAAAGGAUCCCACACCAAACUUUUAAUUUAAUUUUUCUUUUUCUUCUCAAGUGCCUGUAACCUCUGAGUAGUCACCUUGCCACACAGGUGGCAUUACCACCAUCACCUCUUUCUUGUUCCUCACCAUUAGAUUUCCCUUCAGGGGAGCACCCCCUUUGGGAAGCCCACAUCUACACCCACUUUCCAACCAGAUGAUGAGGAUAAAAUAUUUCUUUGUCUUGCCAAAGAGAAGGGUGAGGAGCAGAAGGCUCCUCAGCAGGACCUGCCUCCCAGGCAGAGUGCUCCACUCAGGUUUGGGGUAGAAUAGCUGCUGGGGGGUUGUUUUAAACCUGGCCAUGGCUACAAUUGCUGGUUCAAUUUGGGUGGCCAGGCUGGAAGAGCCCAUUUUUCA